CUCCUACGGGAGGCAGCAGUGGGGAAUCUUGCGCAAUGCGCGAAAGCGUGACGCAGACAACGCCGCGUCGGGGGAAGAAGGCGUUUCGGGUUGUUAAACCCCUUUCAGUUCGGGACGAAGCUUCUCCGGUGAAUAGCCGGAUGGAGUGACGGUACCUUCACAAGAAGCACCGGCUAACUACGUGCCAACCGCCCGCGGUAAUAC
rnacentral:rRNA from 1 species